rnacentral:rRNA from 1 species
AUUGAACGCUGGCGGCAUGCCUUACACAUGCAAGUCGAACGGCAGCACGGGUGCUUGCACCUGGUGGCGAGUGGCGAACGGGUGAGUAAUACAUCGGAACAUGUCCUGUAGUGGGGGAUAGCCCGGCGAAAGCCGGAUUAAUACCGCAUACGAUCUACGGAUGAAAGCGGGGGACCUUCGGGCCUCGCGCUAUAGGGUUGGCCGAUGGCUGAUUAGCUAGUUGGUGGGGUAAAGGCCUACCAAGGCGACGAUCAGUAGCUGGUCUGCGAGGACGACCAGCCACACUGGGACUGAGACACGGCCCAGACUCCUACGGGAGGCAGCAGUGGGGAAUUUUGGACAAUGGGCGAAAGCCUGAUCCAGCAAUGCCGCGUGUGUGAAGAAGGCCUUCGGGUUGUAAAGCACUUUUGUCCGGAAAGAAAUCCUUGGCCCUAAUACGGUCGGGGGAUGACGGUACCGUAAGAAUAAGCACCGGCUAACUACGUG